ensembl:lncRNA
AAAUACAGUUGUCUGGUGAGGAAAUUAAUCUUGAGUAGCACACAUUCCUGCAAAGAUUCCUAUUUAAUGUGUGCACUGGAUUUCUGCUUACCUCACGCUCAUUUAAAAAACUGUCACUGCUAUAAUUUCCUACAGUUGUAAAAUCUGUCCUCGUGGAGUUAUAAACCAAAGUGCAGUGUUUUGGCAUCUAAUAAGCAACUUCUCUAUUAGUCGAACUGGACAUCUUGGAUCUUACCUGCAGCGAUAUACCCCACUCCUCCAGCUCCUUCCCGUUGUUUAGUCUUUAAAAAAAAGGAAAAAAUCUAAAUGCUCAUCUUUUCAUGGGCUUUCUUCACCAUAUGCUUAUCAUUUUUACUUUAAAGAUGCAGUAGUUCAUCAAACUGGAGCUUGCAAAGCACUUUUUGGCUGAGGGGGACAGAGUGAUAGAAGAGAUAUUUGUGAGGGGGGAGAGAUGAAGAGUUUGCAGAGUUCCCUUACAAGCUGUGUUACAACUGACCCUAUCCUCAACUUUGACCCAUGACCCUACCAGAGAUCUGUCAUGAGAGAGGGAGCUGCUUAACACAAAAUGGAGCCUGGUUCAAGAGUCAGAAAGAGAGAGAGAGAAACAGAGAGAGAGUGGGGAACAGAGAGAGAGAGAGAGAGAGAGAGGGGGUGAGAGAGCAUUAGUGCACACAGAGGACUCAUUUAUCCUCUCUCUCACUUGACUUCAGUUUUUUCUUCCUCUCCUUUGCUUUCUCUUUUGUUUUCACUCCACAGACACUGUUGCCCUUUCUCCCAAUACAUCCCGUCUUUUUUCCCUCUGUCCGCCCCCCCUCCCUUCCCUCCCAAUCUUCUCACCCUCAUCUGGUUGAUUUUGGACAACAGCAUGCCAUCAUCAGCAGCCACCACCACCACAGGUAUGGAUUCAUGGCGGCAAGGACCAGCAGGAUUCUGGGAGGGAAUUUGUGAGAUGAAGCUUUAAUGAGAGCGAGGCCUCGUCAGCCAGGAAGAAAUGUAUGCUAAUGAUAUGCACACACCAAAAGGACCCUGGGUAGGCAAGGCAAGUGCUGGCCGAGCUCCCGCUGAGCUCUGAGGAAGAUGAGCAGCUCAGGUCAGAAGAAUAGCAACAAAAACGCCUCCUCCUCCUUUUCUUCUUUCCUUUUCUUCAAUCUGCAUCCACAAGGGCACAGAAAAACUGGUUAACUUAAACCCUUAGAAAUUAGGUUGUGUUGCCACAUGAUGCUGCUGUUGAUGUCUUUUAGUUUCUGGAUUUCUCAUUUUUUCCUUUUCUUCAUCUUUGCAAGCACAUUGACAUUGUGGGUUGAAUUAGCUGGAGAUUAAACACAUCUGUGUUUUACAUCCAGACUUUCCAGAAUUUUAACUGUCAUAAAUAAUGACAGUUAAAAAUAAAAUUGUGCUCCAGAGAGAUGCAAUGUGUGUCCUCUAAUUGUGCUCAAAGUUGUCUUUAAUAAUAGAAAAAUGGAUAUUAAUUUGUUUUGACACUUCAUUUGGAAAUUUAAACUCACCACACCCUUAGUUAAUAAUGGUGUAUGUAAUUGGGCAGUAUUUAAAUGAAAUGACCUGUUUUCAUUCAGGAAUGAAGUGUAUUUGUUAUUAAUUAAGGAAAGAUGCUUGUUACUGGAAAUAAUGUUGCUAAAUACAAUUUCUAUUUAUUUCAGUGUUAUCAAGUAUGUUUCAGUUACUGAUUCACAUAAAUUUUGUUUUUAUUAUACAUUUUAGUGCCAAACUUUUAAUUUAUCCUGAAAUUAUGCUUUAAUUAAUAAAUAAGCCAUGUAUUUUGUAGAAGCCUUUAUUAAAUAAAUUAAUAUUUUGGAAUGCAAGUAAAUAAUUUCUGUUAUUUCUGUUUAUCUAAUUUGCAGAUCUGUUUUCUGGGGAGGCUUUUCAUUAAAAUUGUUUCCUUUUCAUCAUAUAUUUUAUUUACAAUUGUGCAUUAAUUUAUUAAUAUUAUUAUUAUGUUAACGGGAAAAUUUUAAAAAAUUACUCCGUUUAACGCGUCUUUUAGUGCUAUAUAAAAUUAUCUAAUUUACUUGUUGCCAAACUAAAUGAACAUUUAAAUGUUGAUUUAAAAAAAAGAAGAAAAAAAAACUAUGCAGAAUUCACAUCAGCAUUAACGUUACGGUGCAGUCCCUGCUCUCCUCUCCUCUUCUCUGUUUCUUUGCUCGGAGUAUCGCUCCUGCAGGAAUUACUGGCCUGUCUGAUCUGAUUGCCGCUGAAAAAAAAGGAAGGAAGAAAAGAAAAACGAAUAAAGGACGAAGCGAGACAUCAGCGCGACGAUCUCGGCGGCGUUAACUAGUGAUCGUAAAAAGCGCCAGAGUCCAGCCGCAUCCGAAAUGGAAACCUCUUUUUCCACCGUCGCCUUCGGGGGUGAAUAAACAAGAGGAAACGGGAUGAGAAGGGGGGGAAAAAAUCCAUUGAGUCUUGGGAAGAAAAUGAGAGUGGCACCUGAUGAUGUCGACUUUGACACGUGUUAAUUGCUGCUCAGCUCUCCUCAUCAGGGAGUCUCAAAUUAUUUUAGCGCUCCGGGCCACAGCGCCUUGUUUGCUUUGCUGAGGAAAGGAAGCAAGCUGGCCCAAACUUCAAAUGAUAAAAUGGCUUCAUCGAUAGAAAAAUCAGACAAAACUGCUUCACUGCACUUCUGGCUACAUUUAAACAUCUUUGAUUUCAGUUUCCUGCUGUAUCCUCAGCUUUUACCAACAACGCUCCUCUCAACCAACAUACUCAAAUACACAGUUUUACUUCAGUGCCUGAGAGCACCAGUACUCAUCUUCUUUACUUCACACUUCUUACCUGUUGACAUGUAUUUAUAAGGCCUUGCAUGGUGAAUUAUAAAGCCUUUGUUAUUGCCUGGCUUGGGGUUGGCCACUUGUUUAUGACACCAGUAAUGGUGGUAAUUGUUAUUGUUGAGAUUACCUGUCAAGAGGACCUGGACAGUGAGCUUGGAGAAAGCGUUGCUCUCUUGACAAGGGGUGACAGGGGUGUGGGGAAGAGGAUGUGGGGGUUGGAGGCGAGGCUGGGAUGCCCUGAUGACUUCUCCGCUGAUAAUCAGCUACCGUGGCCUGUGGGAUAAUUCAGCUGUCAGUGCCACCUAACAGGGCCCAGCAUCAGCCGGCCGACCCCAGCUGGCGUCAUUCAUUUGGACUGAAGAUGGGGAUGAAGGCCUCAGGAGGGGUGAAGGGAUGCAGGAGCAGAGGAAUAAGGACAACGUCUACAUAUUUGAUUGCUGGAGUUGGCCUUUAAAUGCAGUAAUUUAAAGUUAUCAUCAAACAUUUUUUUAUAGUUUUUGAAAAAAAUGUCUUUUAAAUUUUGCGCCUAAAAGUGCCUUUUUCAAAUUAACAGCUGAUUGAAUGUUUAAACCUCGCUUUGGUGAAAAACCAAAGUAUUAAAUACGUUUUAAAUUGUAUUUCACAUAAGGUCUUAUUUUCUUUAUAUAAAAAACACAGUUUCAGUUUUUUUGCAAAGGCACAUAGCAAGUCCUCACAACACUGCACCUAACAACAUAGAGCAGAUCCUUUAUGCCAUAUGAUCUAAAUGCUUUGUGAAGAAUUUCUGCAACCAGGACUGAACAGGCGAUUGCAGUAAUUCUUGAGAUGUUCACUUGCAUCUUAAAUCAACAUGACGCUGUAAUAAGUGUAUUUUGUUGAAAAUGAAAUUACUUUUAAAUUGAGCCACUACAACAAAUUCAAAGCUUAAUAAUAUAAAGGUUAAUUGCAUGCAAUAUGUCAUGUAUAGAAAUUGUUGAAAAUGUGACUACCUAUUUGCAACCUUUUAAGGUCCUUCCUAAUUCCUUCUGUAAAAGCAGACUCGUUGUCUUCCUGGACACGUGUGCAUCAUAAAGAGGGCAGCAGCAGCUAAAAUGGCAGGCAAAUCACUUUUCGAAUGGUUUUGGAGCAGCUAUCAGUGUCAUCCCUGAAAGGCUGUCUUUAUCAAUGAUACUGGCUGAUAUGGUGGGGGUGUGGAGGUUGGUGGAGGGCGUGGGGGGGGGGGUUCUAUCUGUCUUUGGAAUCUUUCACAGUUUAGGGCCGAGAGCUGCUAAGAAACUGUCAAAGAUUUGGACAGCUAAAAUCCCCCGGUAGCAAACGCUGAGCUGUUCUCUAUCUGUAUUCCACUGUGGCAACACGCGGGGUUGUAACACUACGCCACUGCUAUUCCAGUGGGAUAAUGUCACUGAGGAAAUAGUGCCAGAAAAAUGUCUGCACAGUAUUUUUGCUGUAAUACAGUAUUCCUUUAUUUUUGAUUUUAUCAUGCAAACAUUUAUGAAAAUGAACACAUUUUGUGAAUUUGAGUCACUUGUUCAAAUUUAUUUUUUUUUGUGUGUGAACAUUGUACUGUUUCUGAUUCAGUUACAGUAUAUAACUACUGUCUGCACCUAAUUUAAUCUCUAUUCAUG